UACGUAGGGGGCAAGCGUUGUCCGGAUUUAUUGGGCGUAAAGAGCGUGUAGGCGGUUUGGUAGGUCCGCUGUGAAAACUCGAGGCUCAACCUGGGAAUGGCAAUGGAUACUGGCAAGCUAGAGUGCGGUAGAGGGUAGUGGAAUUCCCGGUGUAGCGGUGAAAUGCGUAGAGAUCGGGAGGAACACCAGUGGCGAAGGCGGCUACCUGGACCAGCACUGACACUGAGGCACGAAAGCGUGGGGAGCAAACAGG
rnacentral:rRNA from 1 species